rnacentral:lncRNA from 1 species
CUGAUAAUUCAGCCAGUUGAAUGCAUUGAAUGAAAUCCAGAGUCUCAACUUGCUUAACUUGAGUACAUGACUGUCUGUCAUUGACAGACAACACAGCAUUGAAGUCACCUGCAACCAGCCAAGGAUUAGUAAUACCAGUAGCAAGAUUUUGUAUGUGUUUCCACAUUGUUCUUCUCUGGUCCAGACCAUUAGAACCAUAAACCACAAUGAGCAGGCAGAUCAGAUCCCCAACAAGAUUAUGAACACUGCAAUGAAAAGAUUGGCCAUCCUCCUGAAUUCCUGUGACACUGAUCUUCUUAGGAUCCCAUAAAAUCCAGAUUCUACCUCUUGGAGACUCCCUAUAGUUAGCUACCAUACACCAACCUGGGAGCACCAGAUUAGCAAUUCUCCCUGCAUUAUUCUCCUUGACCUUUGUUUCUACCAAACUAAC